UCUCCAAACCAACUCCUACAAAUAUGGGUCAGUUGAGAUGAUCUAUUGCUAUAUAAUGGACCCGCAUUUCACAAAUUCAAUCAUUAAUUUAUAUAUCUAUAGCGUCUGCUUCUCUUUCUCAAAUCAAGUCAUGUUUCUCAGUGUUUCGCCGACUAUCUUCUCGCGGAAUGGCACCAUCAUAUAUCGCACCAUAACCCCAAGCCCUAAGACAAACAAAUUGGUCAUUCUUCUUUCUCUGAUAGCCAAAAUUUCACGCUCAACGUACCCUGGAUUUGUGCGACAAGUUUGCCUCCAUUGAUUCUCAUUAUCAUUGCUUCCACAACAGAGAACCGGAUGCAAAAGAACGAUUUCAGGGGAUGAGUAAAUUGAGGAAUCAUCAACCUUCCUCUCAAUUGGAUCGAUCAGAGGCUAUGCCGUUUGGAUCGUCUUCGAUAACGAAGGUAAAGCAUCUACCAUCUUUAGUAUAUACUACCAAUGUUUUCAAGAAUCAGCUCUCCAUCUUUAUCGUUUAUCAUAGAGCUAGAGACAAGAAUGACAACAAUGUGAUUUCAUCAAAGUUCAAACGACCCAGGGAGGCUAAAAGCCUAAAACUGCUGCUUUACUUGGACUGGACAGGUCUCAAACGACCCAGGCUCUAGCAAAAAGGGGUUCAUGUUCAUUAUUCACAAGAAGGGUUUUAAUAUGAUGAGGAUGAAACCAACCUACAAAGGGGGUAUCUGGUAUUUUAAAGAAAUUUAAAAAUAUGGAUUUCACUAGUGAAUAUAAAUAUGAUGGGAACGUCCUAAGAAAUAUUACUUAGUUAAUGAAUUUAUUAAACAGGAACAUUAUUUUGUAAAUGCCUAAUGAGUUUCACUUUACAUAUAUACAAUAUUUGGAGGAUGGCAUAGUUCGGAUAUACAUCAGAGAUGUUGAUAAACACUCAGAACUCUGGAUGUUGUUGCUUCAAGGUACUAUAUUGAGAAGUUCCUGGAUGUUUUUUUCACAUGAUGACUUGUACACGUGCAGACAAUUUGCGCAGCUAUUAAGCCUUUUUGUACCAUCAAGAAAGCCCAUCCACAAAAUGAUGGGAGUUGAUUGUAAGUUGGCAAGGAUGUGACACAAGUGAGGGGUUUGUAUAAAGGACAAGUAAAGAUUCUUCCAAUACGUUGUUUCCAGGAUGAUUAAUCCACGAUAAAAAAUUUAAUAUCCUUUCUUUCUAGAACUUUAUAUAAGUGUCUUCAAGUGGCUAGAAUUCUUGCUUUAUUGCUCAUCAUUUACAUAAUCUAAAUGUCCUAGGGUGAAUAAUUCCAUCUA